UUGGAUGGUAGUGUAUUGGACUACCAUGGCUUUAACGGGUAACGGAGGAUUAGGGCUCGAUUCCGGAGAGGGAGCCUGAGAAACGGCUACCACAUCUAAGGAAGGCAGCAGGCGCGUAAAUUACCCAAUCCUGACUCAGGGAGGUAGUGACAAGAAAUAACGGACCGAGGCCUCGUGCCUCGGGAUUGCAAUGAGUACAAUUUAAACCCCUUAACGAGUACCAAUUGGAGGGCAAGUCUGGUGCCAGCAGCCGCGGUAAUUCCAGCUCCAAUAGCGUAUAUUAAAGUUGUUGCAGUUAAAAAGCUCGUAGUUGGAUUUCUGGGAGGGUGCCAAUGUCCGCCGGCAGGCGUGUGCAGCGGCGCCCUUCCAUCCUUCUGUUAACGCUUCUUGGUAUUCAGUUACUGGUUGCGGGCUCAGAUAUUUUACCUUGAGAAAAUUAGAGUGUUUCAGGCAGGCUUGCGCCGGAAUACAUUAGCAUGGAAUAAUAGAAGAGGACUUUGGUCGCUGUUGUUGGUUUGCAGCACCUGGAGUAAUGAUUAAUAGGGAUAGUUGGGGGCAUUAGUAUUUAAUUGUCAGAGGUGAAAUUCUCGGAUUUGUUAAAGACUAACUUAUGCGAAAGCAUUUGCCAAGGAUGUUUUCAUUAAUCAAGAACGAAAGUUAGGGGAUCAAAGACGAUCAGAUACCGUC
rnacentral:rRNA from 1 species